rnacentral:rRNA from 1 species
GAGUAACUGUUGACAUCGUGACGGUAUCCAACCAGAAAGCCACGGCUAACUACGUGCCAGCAGCCGCGGUAAUACGUAGGUGGCAAGCGUUGUCCGGAUUUAUUGGGCGUAAAGCGAGCGCAGGCGGUUUUUUAGGUCUGAUGUGAAAGCCUUCGGCUUAACCGGAGAAGUGCAUCGGAAACCGGGAGACUUGAGAGCGGAAGAGGACAGUGGAACUCCAUGUGUAGCGGUGAAAUGCGUAGAUAUAUGGAAGAACACCAGUGGCGAAGGCGGCCGUCUGGUCUGCAACUGACGCUGAGGCUCGAAAGCAUGGGUAGCGAACAGGAUUAGAUACCCUGGUAGUCCAUGCCGUAAACGAUGAGUGCUAAGUGUUGGAGGGUUUCCGCCCUUCAGUGCUGCAGCUAACGCAUUAAGCACUCCGCCUGGGGAGUACGACCGCAAGGUUGAAACUCAAAGGAAUUGACGGGGGCCCGCACAAGCGGUGGAGCAUGUGGUUUAAUUCGAUGCUACGCGAAGAACCUUACCAGGUCUUGACAUCUUCUGCUAACCUAAGAGAUUAGGCGUUCCCUUCGGGGACGGAAUGACAGGUGGUGCAUGGUUGUCGUCAGCUCGUGUCGUGAGAUGUUGGGUUAAGUCCCGCAACGAGCGCAACCCUUAUUGUCAGUUGCCAGCAUUUAGUUGGGCACUCUGGCGAGACUGCCGGUGACAAACCGGAGGAAGGUGGGGAUGACGUCAAAUCAUCAUGCCCCUUAUGACCUGGGCUACACACGUGCUACAAUGGACGGUACAACGAGUCGCGAAACCGCGAGGUCAAGCUAAUCUCUGAAAGCCGUUCUCAGUUCGGAUUGCAGGCUGCAACUCGCCUGCAUGAAGUUGGAAUCGCUAGUAAUCGUGGAUCAGCAUGCCACGGUGAAUACGUUCCCGGGCCUUGUACACACCGCCCGUCACACCAUGAGAGUUUGUAACACCCAAAGCCGGUGAGGUAACCUUCGGGAACCAGCCGUCUAAGGUGGGACAGAUGAUUAGGGUGAAGUCGUAACAAGGUAGCCGUAGGAGAACCUGCGGCUGGAUCACCUCCUUUCUAA